rnacentral:tRNA from 1 species
GCGAGCGUAGCUCAAUGGUAGAGCCCUGGCCUUCCAAGCCAGUCAUGUGGGUUCGAUUCCCAUCGCUCGCU